rnacentral:rRNA from 1 species
CAGUAGCCGCGGUAAUACAGAGGGUGCGAGCGUUAAUCGGAUUUACUGGGCGUAAAGCGUGCGUAGGCGGCUUUUUAAGUCGUAUGUGAAAUCCCUGAGCUUAACUUAGGAAUUGCAUUCGAUACUGGGAAGCUAGAGUAUGGGAGAGGAUGGUAGAAUUCCAGGUGUAGCGGUGAAAUGCGUAGAGAUCUGGAGGAAUACCGAUGGCGAAGGCAGCCAUCUGGCCUAAUACUGACGCUGAGGUACGAAAGCAUGGGGAGCAAACAGGAUUAGAUACCCCGGUAGUCCCUGUCUCUUAUAC